rnacentral:tRNA from 1 species
GGCUCCAUAGUGUAGUGGUUAGCAUGUCUGCUUUACGUGCAGAUUCACAUCCCAGGUGGAGCCC